UAUGAUCCAGCGGUAGGAUCUCAGCCUUCCAAGCUGAUCGCCCGGGUUCGACUCCCGG
rnacentral:tRNA from 11 species